rnacentral:rRNA from 1 species
GGAUUAGAUACCCUGGUAGUCCACGCCCUAAACGAUGUACACUAGUUGUUGUGAGGCUCGACCUUGCAGUAAUGCAGUUAACACAUUAAGUGUACCGCCUGGGGAGUACGGUCGCAAGAUUAAAACUCAAAGGAAUAGACGGGGACCCGCACAAGCGGUGGAGCAUGUGGUUUAAUUCGACGAUACACGAAGAACCUUACCUGGUCUUGACAUACUAAGAAGCUUUAAGAGAUUAGAGUGUGCUAGCUUGCUAGAACUUAGAUACAGGUGCUGCACGGCUGUCGUCAGCUCGUGCCG